GAAGUAGUCACGCACGUAGCUACUGCAAGUCUGCAAUUAGGAUUUAGGAACGGUUCUGUCUUUGGACCCUAAAUUUCAAUAAUUCCUCACUUUUAAUUUAAGUAAGCAACCGACCAAAUAAAUUUUGUACCAGCAGCCAAACCGCUGAAAUUUCAAAUCUCUGCAAAUUACUCCAGUUAAUAAUUCUUCUAGGCUGUAAUCCGUUCGGUUGACUUGCAGGUGAGGGGGAUAGUUAUGUCCGCCGGUAUGGGUAUACCUCCGGUGAUCAAGUUAGUCCGGAUACAGGCAAAGGAUGGGGAUGAAUAAAUAAACGAUUUUUCUGCCACAUUCUUGCGUUGUUUUCCAGCAAAAACUGCUGACGCCGAAUCUCUUGAGAAAUGCGCUUUUCUGCUACUCUAUGUUAUCCGUUCAGCAGUAGCUCUUUUCUCUUCAGCCGGCAUUUCUGCAGCGGCUGUCCCUGUUUUAUUGUCGUACUUGUACUCCCAACUUCUAACUGUUUCUCUGUAAUAUUUCUGCAGCUGGUUUUGCGUGUAGGACAAAGUUCUAAUGCUUUAGAAAGAAGCCCAACCGAUUCUAGACCCUGCUCUAUUUAUCCUUCCACAUGCCAAUUCUCCAGGAUUCUUCUUCUGCAGGCCAAGUGCCGCCUGAGAUCAGUCCAUACUCUUCGUGGAGGAACAGAAUACGAAAAUUAUAGGAGGCUCAAUUCUUCCUGAUGGUGCAAAAUCAAAGAGAAUAAAUUGGGGCGGUGCAAAACCAGGCUCAUAAUAUAAAAAACGCUAGACAUCGUCAUGAAGCAAUGUGCUGAAAGUGAACAGGUUCACGACUUAACUCUUGUCUCUCUGACAUGGUCUAAAUUUUAGUUUUCCAUGGAGUAAGAAGAAAUCAUUUUUCUCUCGUUCAUAAAAUUAGGACGUGUGAAUUUUAUGGUAAUUUUUCUGUACCAACUAGGUAACCAAAUUCCAGAAGCUAAUGCUUACAAACUAGUAUUAGUCUUUUACUCGUCAAAAGAGCCCAGUGUUAAUGUGAAUUUAGAGUUUUACCUUUGAGGAUCUCUCGUUCUGCCUUGUCUAAUUUUCCAUGUUAUAAAGCUGCCAAAUCAUUACGGGUUGAAGACGGUAAAUGCCACCUGUGCAGGAGCAAGUUCAGGUGAGUUUUCAAUUGCAAUGGAAAUUUUUUUUUUUUAUCAGACUUCUUUUUUUCUUCUUGUCAUUCACAUUUCUUUGCUCUGGAAAUUGUUGGAAAUAUUGCAUUACCCAACACAUUUGCUAGAACUUCUUCAACUUUGACGGCUGUAGGAAUUCUGCAACUUCAAAACCUGGUUACUGUAUUCUCAUUCUUUACAGAUGCAGCCACUCUGUAAUUGUACCUAUAGAUGAGAGUGACAUGUAUGUUUAUUUUCCCUACUUCUGCAUCUCCAAUAACCUUCUGCUAUCAUUAGUUUCGGGUGUUACCUCUUUGCCAACCUUGAAUUCAAAUAGAAGACGGUCAAAAGAUGUUGAAAAUUGGUUUUUUCGAAUCUGCUUUCGAUAGUCAUAUACUCCUUUAUUUGGCAUCCACCUUGUUCCUCUUGUAACCACUUUAAAGUUGAGAAAAUCAUUUCUCGUCUUCCAGCCAUAUACUAGAAGAUGCCUUUCAAUGAUUAAUCUCUCAAAGCAUGUCUUUUGCAAUAGCCAUCCUUUUUGAGCUACAAAUGUGAUAGGUUGCCUAAUUAAUUUGCACUUUACAUUUUUCUCCAAUUAGGAAGCAGCCCUUCGCCAGGGCGUGGUCAAGUCUAGUGGCCUCCAUGUUAUUGAUUCCUUCACUACUGUGGAGGACCAGACUAGCACUGAUUUUGGCAGUUUAGUAGGUACUACAGUAAGAGAACCGAAAACUGAGAGUAAAAUGAAAAGAAAAGGUGGAGCGUCUUCAUUGAUACAGCCGCGGUGCAUGGCUUUGAGAAAUUUAAGAACCACCAGAAAUUGUCGAACAAGGGAUUGAUUUGCCGUCAGCCGCAUAAAACAUGUAUUUUUCGGUCUGAAAACCGAUCGGAUUGGUCCCUGCCCCUGGGGGGUUGACUGAGCCGGAACAUACCUAUAAUCACGGGAAAAUCAGAUCCCUUUGAAAAGUAUAAACACAGGCAGCCGAUGACAGGUAAUAAUCAGCCGUUUGAAUACUUCUGCACAGCUGAUCCUUUUUUUUUUUUUUUUGGUAAUACCUGUAUGUAUUUAUUGUAUACUAAAUAAAUAUAAAAGGAUAGAUGGAGGUAAUUAGAGUUGUAUGAUCGGCAAUGACCAAUUGCUGCAACACAGAAGUUUGCUUCUGCUACCGGUUAUU